GGUAUGCACAGACUUCGAGAAGCCUUCCAAAAUGUUGUGGGGGACUGAAGGCAUUCAACAUUUUGAAAUCACUACUGAUAUUAGCAGUUUAGCAAAACUACUUUCUUACGAUGGGCCAUGGGCGUAAAUAGGAUUGGCUGUGAAUUACGUGCAGUUUCUCUGCAAAGUUCCAGGUCUAUGCUGUCUCGACCACGUGGUCUACACCGACAGAGAGCUUUUGCCAGCACUGGGACUGUUUGAAUAUCUCAUUAAAGGAGAAGAGAGAGAGCAACAAGGGCACGCGGGCCUCUCACUGUUGUGGCCUCUCCCGUUGCGGAGCACAGGCUCUGGACGCGCAGGCUCAGUGGCCAUGGCCCACAGGCCCAGCCGCUCCGCGGUAUGUGGGAUCUUCCCAGACUGGGGCACGAACCCGUGUCCCCUGCAUCGGCAGGCGGACUCUCAACCACUGCGCCACCAGGGAAGCCCCCCUUCAUCCAUUUUAAUAGAAGUUUCAGUAGGACAUGUGUCUGCCCCAAAUGAUGACUGCUUUACUCAGCUUCCCUUGCAGCUAGGAGUGGCCACUUCACUAAAUUCUGGACAAUAAGAUGGAAGAAGUAUCCAGUGACAGUUUCUGGGAAUGUUUCUCAGGAAACAAUUGGCAGGUGACCCUUGCUUAGUCCUUUUUCUCCAUUCUGCUGCCCACAAUAGGAAUGCUGUCAUCUUGGACUAUGGGGUAAGUUCUACACUGAGAAAACAGAGGCAUGAGCUGGAAGGGCUCUGGAUCCCUGAGGACCAGUGGAGCUGACCUCCCAUAUCAGAUCUGGACUGCACAUGUGAGAGAAAUAAACUCAUCUGUCAUCUUAUUUAAACCACCCAUACAUUGAGUUUCUCUGUUACUUAUAGCUGAAUCUAAUACUAAUGGACACAGAUUUUAGAGACAAAUUUUCAACCAGCAUCAGGCUGUAACUACACAUAUUUUAAGUCACUUUAUUGGCUUCUCUUUGUCCCAUCUUUGAUUUUCUAUCUUCUUUUGCCAAACUUUAAUUUAAUUUAAAUGGAAUUUAAUGUUAUGUUCUCUAUACUUUUAUAGGCUUCCUAAAAUCCAUUUUGAAACAAGACCAGGUAUAAACUAAUGAAUAAUAAUCAAACUCAGAUA